rnacentral:rRNA from 1 species
GACGAACGCUGGCGGCGUGCUUAACACAUGCAAGUCGAACGGAAAGGCCCUGCUUUUGUGGGGUGCUCGAGUGGCGAACGGGUGAGUAACACGUGAGUAACCUGCCCUUGACUUUGGGAUAACUUCAGGAAACUGGGGCUAAUACCGGAUAGGAGCUCCUGCUGCAUGGUGGGGGUUGGAAAGUUUCGGCGGUUGGGGAUGGACUCGCGGCUUAUCAGUUUGUUGGUGGGAUAGUGGCUUACCAAGGCUUUGACGGGUAGCCGGCCUGAGAGGGUGACCGGCCUAAUUGGGACUGAGGUACAGCCCAGAUUGCUACGGGAGGCAGCGGUGGAGAAUAUUGCACAAAAGACGGAAGCCUGGUGCAGCAACGCCGAGUGCGGGAUGACGGCCUUCGGGUUGUAAACCGCUUUCGCCUGUGACGAAGCGUGGGUGACGGUAAUGGGUAAAGAAGCACCGGCUAACUACGUA